GGGUUUUUUUUCUGGUGGAACUGAGAUUCAAGAAAAUUUAUAUUUGUUCAAACAGGCUUGCUUUCCCAAUCUGCCUUUUAAUUACCAUCCUAAGUGAAAUUUAUUAAUUUAAUUAUUUUUCCCACUUGUCCAUCCAUCAGUGCUGGCAAAGACAGUCUUCACAUUCUGUUUCUGCGUUGAUACCACAGCUU